rnacentral:RNase_P_RNA from 1 species
AAGGAAAGUCCGAAACUUAUUAGCCAUAUAUGCAUCGCCAUAGGCGACGCUUUAUAAUAAUAUAAGGAUUUUAACAGAAACUAAUAAUUAUAAUUAAUAAUUGCGAACAAUAACCCUAUGGUAAGUUUUAAUUUAGAAUUAUUAAAAUUAAGACAGGAACUGGCUUAA